rnacentral:rRNA from 1 species
CAGCAGCGCGGGAACACGUAGGUGGCAAGCGUCGUCCGGAAUUAUUGGGCGUAAAGGGCUCGCAGGCGGUUUCUUAAGUCUGAUGUGAAAGCCCCCGGCUCAACCGGGGAGGGUCAUUGGAAACUGGGAAACUUGAGUGCAGAAGAGGAGAGUGGAAUUCCACGUGUAGCGGUGAAAUGCGUAGAGAUGUGGAGGAACACCAGUGGCGAAGGCGACUUCCUGGUCUGUAACUGACGCUGAGGAGCGAAAGCGUGGGGAGCGAACAGGAUUAGAGACCCGAGUAGUCCCUGUCUCUUAUACA